rnacentral:rRNA from 1 species
GAUGAACGCUAGCGGCAGGCUUAAUACAUGCAAGUUGAGGGGCAGCAUGAUAUACGCGAGUAUAUUGAUGGCGACCGGCGGACGGGUGAGUAAUAGGUAGGAGACCUACCUCAUACAGGGGGAUAGCAUAGAGAAAUCUGUGGUAAUACCCCAUGAGGUUAUAUGAAUAGAGGCAUAUAAUCAAAGCAUAAGCGAUUAUGCGGUAUGAGAGGGGCCUACUGACCAUUAGCUAGUUGGUGAGGUAAGGGCUCACCAAGGCGAAGAUGGUUAGGGGUUUUGAGAGAGAGACCCCCCACAUUGGAACUGAGAGACGGUCCAGACUCCUACGGGAGGCAGCAGUAGGGAAUAUUGGGCAAUGGGCGAAAGCCUGACCCAGCCAUGCCGCGUGAAGGAAGACGGCCUUAGGGUUGUAAACUUCUUUACUACGCGAAUAGAGGUUAGUACGAGAUACUAAUAGGAAGGUAGUGUAGUAAAAAGCACCGGCUAAACUCCGUG